rnacentral:rRNA from 1 species
GAUGAACGCUGGCGGCGUGCCUAAUACAUGCCAGUCGAGCGAACGGACAAGAAGCUUUUUUCUUUGAGGUUAGCGGGGGACGGGUGAGUAAGGCGUGGAUAAGAUACUUAUAAGACUGGGAUAAUUUCGGGAAAACGUAUCUAAUAACAGAUAAUAUUUUGAACCUGUGGGUUCAAAAGUGAAAGAGGGUUUUGGUGUUUGUUUUAGAUGGUUCCGGGUUGGAUUAGCUAGUUGGUAAGGUAACGGCCUACCAAGGCAACGAUGCAUAGCUGAGCUGAGAGGAUGAUCAGCCACACUGGAACUGAGACACGUUCCAGACUCCUACGGGAGGCAGCAGUAGGGAAUCUUCCGCAAUGGGCGAAAGCCUGACGGAGCAACGCCGCGUGAGUGAUGAAGGUCUUCGGAUCGUAAAACUCUUUUAUUAGGGAAGAACAUAUGUGUAAUUAACUGUGCACAUCUUGACGGUACCUAAUCAGAAAGCCACGGCUAACUACGUG